GAUGAACGCUGGCUGUGUGCCUAAUACAUGCAUGUCGAGCGAAGCACUUUUUGUGCUUAGCGGCGAAUGGGUGAGUAACACGUACUUAACCUACCUCAUAGUUUGGGACAACAUUUGGAAACGAAUGCUAAUACCGAAUACGCUGCCAGGUGGCAUCACCUGGCAAUGAAAGAUCCGUUUGGAUUGCUAAGAGAUGGGAGUGCGUUACAUUAGUUAGUUGGUAGGGUAAAAGCCUACCAAGACGAUGAUGUAUAGCGGGGUUGAGAAGCUGAUCCGCCACACUGGGACUGAGAUACGGCCCAGACUCUUACGGGAGGCAGCAGUAGGGAAUUUUCCACAAUGAGCGAAAGCUUGAUGGAGCGACACAGCGUGCAGGAAGACGCCCUUCGGGGUGUAAACUGCUGUUAUAAGGGAAGAAAAAAACUAGAACCAGGAAAUAGGGUUUGGCGUUGACGGUACCGUUAUCAGAAGGCACCGGCAAACUAUAGUGCCAGCAGCC
rnacentral:rRNA from 1 species